AGAAGCAUCCUCUCUUCCAGCUCUCAGAGAUGGAGACAGACACGCUGUUCUUAUGGGUGCUGCUGCUCUGGGUUCCAGGCUCCACUGGUGACAUUAUGCUGAACCAGUCUCCAGCUUCUUUGGCUGUGUCUCUAGGGCAGAGGGCCACCAUCUCUUGCAGGGCCAGUGAAAGUGUCAGUAUAUCUAGCAAUAGUUAUAUGCACUGGUACCAACAGAAACCAGGACAGCCACCCAAACUCCUCAUAUAUCGUGCAUCCAACCUAGAAUCUGGGGUUCCUGCCAGGUUCAGUGGCAGUGGGUCUGGGACAGAUUUCACCCUCACUAUCAAUCUUGUGGAGGCUGAUGAUGAUGCAAUCUAUUACUGUCAGCAAAGUAGGAAGUUUCCUCCCACAGUGCUCCAGGCCUGA